CGUGAUUCUAACUGGCUGUAGCCAGAGCAGCUGACUUCAACCCUGAGACGGACACUAAGUUUAGGCCAGAAACACCUAGGCAUAGAGGCAAGCAACCUUCUACCUACUUCAAUCUACUGAAAUUUUGGAUUUCAUGUCAUUUACAAGGCUCAGUUUUCUGCACCUGCCUUGGUAUUUGACAACUCCAGCCAAUUUUCCACUUGCUUCCUCACCAAUGCUUCUUCAGCUUGAAGACUAACAUCUAGAAGAGUCAUGAAGUCUAAAGUCAAGAGGAGUCUUAUCUUCUAGAAAGUUUUUCAAACAUCCCAACCUCAAAAAGUUUGGCUAAAUGGUGUUCUUCUACAGCCCCACACAUGCAAACAUCUUUAUUGCACUUGUGUCAUUAUUUUUUCUUCGUAUAUGUGUUUUUCUAUAAGUACAUUUAUAUGAAGGUAUAUUUUGAAAUAAAGACACUUCCUCAACA
rnacentral:lncRNA from 1 species